AGGUAUAUUAUCAUGUCGUCUGCAAAUAGAGACAAUUUGGCUUCCACCUUUCCUAUUUGAAUACCCUUUAUUUCUUUUUCUUGCCUGAUUGCUCUGGCUAGAACUUCCAGUACUAUAUUGAAUAGGAGUGGUGAAAGAGGGCAUCCUUGUCUAGUGCCAGAGAUCGGUUAGGGGCCAGAGAGGACUUUCCCCAACCCUGGAGAUGCCCUGAAGGUUCACUGGCUCUCCGGAUUAGCCUCUUCCUCUGUCAGGCAAAGACGAGGAGCCCGUUUGCCCAUUGGGCCCUGGGCAGGGACUUGCAGUGGAUUCUUGGUCAGGUGUCCCUGCACAUGCGGAGGCGAGAAGGUGAUUCCAUCAUUCCAGUUCUCGCCCACAGUUUUGGUGAAGCAGGGGACACACCCCACAGCCCUAGCUCUCAAAUGUCUUCACGGUCCUUACUUCUCUACCUGUCUCAAGAAGGAGCUCAGAGCAGAGACUUGUGAAUUCCUUAGCAACGUGAGUAUAUGAAUGUUUUGCAUAUGUCCACAGUAUUGGCAAGAUAAUUAUGUAAUUCAGAUACUUUUAAUCAUGUUUCAAGAAAGAGGCUCCUCCCAUUCGCCACCCUAGAGAAUUGCCUUUGUUAAAUCAAGACACAUACAUAUCAAACCAUGACUUUGAAAGGUCUUUGAGGCUGGGACAAUGUAAUGAAUUAGUUUAAAAGCCAAGGUCAGACAUGAAUUAAUAGUCAAUUUCCCUUCAGCACAAGGAAAAGGUGAUUUACAUGAGUAGCUCUUUUGAAGGUUGUGGCUGACUUGUUCAUACCGUGUCACCUCAUGGCUGGCGUGGUGUUGAACGAGUGGAGAUUGUGAAAAUGCAGCUUACACAGUGGGGCCUAUUGUUCUUUCAAGAAUUCUUUUUUUAGCUCAUGGAACCCACAGGUCCAGUUUAGUAACCAGUGAUUUAGACAAUCAGUGAUAGGUUUAUAAUCUCAGACUAUUCCAGCAAAGUGUGGCGACAAAGGAUUGCAUUGUUAGGAAGAACAGUUGGUGGGAACGAGCACUCCUGGGCAUACCGCUGACUUUCAAAAGUCCCUUGUUCCAGGUAUAGGAGACCCAAGGCAUCCUGAAGCCCACCUAUAAGAACAGAGUCUUCCAGCAUAUAUUUGCUUUUUUAGAAACUCUAGCAUUCUUUUUAAAUACUGAAGCAAUCCUUAAUGGAAAAGAGAUUUCAUGAAACAAAUUAGGUAUUUCAAGAGUUGAUCUAUUUUUGGUGUCCAAAAUUCACGAAUACAGAAGCUUGACAAGCAUGUCUUCACCUUCUCACCACAUAAACACAUGGACACACACCCAAGCCACAAGAAAUCCCAAGAGAGCAGAGGAGAAUUUUUAAAAGAUUUAUCAUGAGGACUGCAUUUCCAUUCACUCAAACUUAUGAGACAGGAAAUAGGGGCCAACAGUAAAUGGGGGCGGCCGCCUGUCGUGCCCAGGCGAGGACUUCUUGAACUUCUACCAAUCUCCAUUUGAUUUUCUUCACCUUUAUUUCAUCUUCAUAAGAAGAGAAAGGCUCAAAAGGAAGCACUGUUAGAAAGUUUCUCUGACCUAGAAGAAUCCGUCUAAAUCCCUGCCUUCCUCUCUGAACAAACAGUUCCUGUCUCUGACAGGGGCCAUCCUCUAUCUUCCAUCCAGUG
rnacentral:lncRNA from 1 species